rnacentral:lncRNA from 1 species
CGCGACGAUGAAAUGAAACAAAAAAAAAACUGAUACAAACCCCUGAAACACGGUAUUUCUCCCAUUUCAUUUUCUCCAUCGACUCCGCCUCUCCACGACUUCCCCCAUCGCCUCAGCUCUUACUCUCUUCUCUAUCCUUCUUCCACCGCCGACUAACGGUGCUCAGCUCUCACUAUCAUGACUCUCUGCCUUCCACCGUGACCGCUAGCACCUCUCAAUCUAGUUGCUAGCAUCCCAGGAUACAAAUUGAAAUAUUUCUCUAAGGUAAAGACUCUUCAAAUUAAUACCCGCCCCUGUUUUGAACUGAUUUAUUUGUUUCCCUUUCUGUGAGUGUACUAUUUGAAGAAAGCAUGCAUCGACAUGAUGCUUAAGCUGGCAAGAAACACAGGCUCUAGAAUUAAUCUUUUAGGUUCGAAAAGAAUCCCGUUUGAUAAAUUCCAAAUAGGUAUUCAAGAACUGAAUUUGAGAACAGAUUGGUGCUUGAGAUUUACAAAAAUAUGGUGGCUUCUAACAGAUAAAAAUGAAAUGAUUAUUAGGUUUUCUUUUCUUUUCUUUUUUUCCCCUUUGUUGUUGUUUAUGCAUGUUUAGAUUUGAGAAACUCUUACUGUCUUCAACUAUAAACAAGUUCAAAUACUUAUUUAAAUAGUAUUUAGUUGUAGGAGUUUCGAGGUUACAGAACAGAAGUAUGGUACAUCAAUUCAAAUGCUGGGCUCAUCAGUCCUUAAUAAAAUUAUUAAUGAUUUCAAGAAUGAUGGAAAAGGAAUGGAAAUCAAACAAAUAAUUGACAAGUACAGAGAAUUGAGUGAAAAAAACCAUUGAUUACUGUUGACACAUAAUUCAGCCCAAAUCGAACGGCCCAAGGAAUGAAGUCCAAUUAGAGGAUCCCCAAAUCAGAUAGCCCAAAGAACGAAGCCCAAUCAGACAAUUCAGGAUGAAGGCUCAAAUAGUGAGGCCCAUGAACGCGGUAACACCAUCGCCCAAACUUGCAAGUCGCCCAGGAUCUGAGCGAAUGGAGUGCCAUGCAGUCGCCCAGAGCUGCUACUCUAUUCUCGCCCA